AAAACAACAUUCAGACCGUCGAUCUACCGAGCUAUAUCACCCGCUCGGUGGAAGAUCUUCCCUUUGUCGUAUACU
rnacentral:pre_miRNA from 1 species